rnacentral:lncRNA from 1 species
GGUUGAACUGCGUGACAAUUGCCUAGUGGACCACCUGCUCCAUGAGGGCGCAUUUCUCCUGCACCUCUAGAUCAGCACACCAGAUGACCAGAUAGAGAGUCUUGCUUGGUCACUCAAGCUGGAGUGCAGUGGCGCGAUCUCAGCUCACUGCAACCUCCGCCUCCCAGCUUCAAGCGAUUCUCCUGCCUCUGCCUCUUGAAUAGCUGGGAUUACAGGCAUGCACCACCAAACCUAGCUAAUUUUUGUAUUUUUAGUAGAGACAGGGUUUCGCCAUGUUGGCCAGGCUGGUCUCGAACUCCUGACCUCAGGUAAUCUGCCCGCCUCAGCCUCCCAAAGUGCUGGGAUUACAGGCAUGAGCCACUGCGCCCAGCCUAAACCCAAAGUAUUUCUUGCUUGGUUUUAAUAUACACUGAAUUUUUCAAGAAUUCGACUAUCGUGUAUUAGUAUGAACUAAAUGUUUGUGUUCUCCUGCCAAAUGCAUAUGUUGAAGCCCUAAUCCCCAAUGUCAUAGCAUUUGAAGGUGAGAAGGUGAGGCCCUUGGAAGGUAAUUGGGGCUAGAUUACGUCAUGAGGGUGGGAGACUUCAUGAUGGUAUUAAUGCCCUCACAGAAAGAGAACGAGACAAGCAAUCUCUUUCUCCACCAAGUGGGGAUACAGCAAGAAGGCAGCUGUGAGCAAACCAGAAACAGAGCCCUCACCAGACACCAAAUCGGUUUUGCCAGCACCUUAAUCUUGGACUUCCCAGCCUCCAGAACUGUGAAAAAUAAAUAUUGUUUUUUAAGCCACCCUGUUUAUGGUAUUUUGUUAUAGCAGCCUGAGCUGACUAAAAUCUCAGGUCAUUGAAGGAAGAUGUAUUUUGCUUCGUUGGGAUCUUUACCAAGAGCUGUACUUGGACAAUUCCUUUACUGAAGGCAACACACACAUUAAAAUCCAUUGCUUACCAGCUGCACUGCAGUGCCUCAGUCACCAUGAUUCUAAGUAUAAAAAUGCUAAGUAUAGGCCAGGUACAGUAUCUCAUGCCUGUAAUUUCACCACUUUGGGAGGCUGAGGCACUCAGAUCACUUGAGAUCAGGAGUUCGAUUCCAGCCUGGCCAACAUGGUGAAACCCUGUCUCUACUAAAGAUACAAAAAUUAGCUUAGCAUGAUGGUGUGUGCCUGUAAUCCCAGCUACUUGGGAGGCUGAGGCAGGAGAAUCGCUUGAACCUGGGAGGCAAAGGUUGCAGCGAGCUGCACCAUUGCACUCCAGCCUGGGCAACAAGAGUGAAACUCCAUCUCAAAAAAAAAAAAAAAAAAAAAAACUAGCUACUAGCUAUAUGCUAUUUCAAGAUGUAUAUAAAUAUCAUUAUUAUACAGAAAUAUUGAAAAGCAAUUAAUAAAAAAAUACAUCAGGCCAAAACCAACUAAAAUGAAGUUGGAAAGCUAUAUUAGUAUCAGAAAAAAUAGACUCACAAAAAGUAUUACUGCAGAUAAAGAGUGUCAUCUCAUAAUAAUAAAAUAGUCCCAGCCUGUCCAACAUGGCGAAACCCCGUCUCUACUAAAAAAUACAAAAAUUAGCUGGGUGUGGUGCCACGUUCCUGUAAUCCAAGCUACUUGGAAGGCUGAGGCAGGAGAAUCACUUGAACCUUGGGGGUGGAGGUUACAGUGAGCCGAGAUUGUGCCAGUGCACUCCAGCCUGGGUGACAGAGUGAGACUCCAUCUCAAAAAAUAAAUAAAAAAUAAAAUAAAAUAUUCAAUUUAACAGGGAUGUAUAACAAAAACUACUCUGUACCUAAUAAUAAAAAUUUAAAACAUAUGAUGUAAAUAUUGAAAAAAAUGUUGAUACAAGCUUUAUUUAUAAUAUGGCCAGGUAUGGUGGCUCA